ACACUCUUAGUAUAGCAUAUAGUACAGCUGACUUCCAAUCAGCCAGCCUUAGU
rnacentral:tRNA from 1 species